AUAAACGCGAUGAAGAGAAGAGUAAAUGAACAGAAUUCCUCAUCAGAGAGCUCCGGAAGCUGAGAAGGAGCAGGAAGUCUGCCGUUGAAUCAAGCCUCUGAGCAGCGCAUCGGAACCUGGGAUUUAAGGCGAUGGUGUGACAGGAGCUCCUGUUAUAGAGCUAGAGUAUAAGUAUAUUGCCAGGGCAUUAUGCCGUACUUGAAGAGGUGGAUACAGUGAUGUAUUCAUGAAGCAGGGGUGGCAGCACGGUUGAUCAAAUCUCGUCCCCAAG
rnacentral:ncRNA from 1 species